rnacentral:rRNA from 1 species
CCCUUAGAUGUCCGGGGCCGCACGCGCGCUACACUGAAGGAAUCAGCGUGGCUUUCUCCCUGACCCGAAAGGGUUGGGAAACCCGUUGAAUCUCCUUCGUGAUAGAGAUUGGGGCUUGAAAUUGUUCCCCAUGAACGAGGAAUUCCCAGUAAGCGCGAGUCAUAAGCUCGCGUUGAUUACGUCCCUGCCCUUUGUACACACCGCCCGUCGCUACUACCGAUUGAACGGUUUAGUGAGGGCCUCGGAUUGGUCUCGGCCCGCUCUUUACCGGGCGGCGCCGUUGGUCGAGAAGACGCUCGAACUUGAUCGUUUAGAGGAAGUAAAAGUCGUAACA